CAUUUGGGGGUCACAAGGGCUUGCAUUGUUUGGGCCUUGGGGCCUUUGGGCCCAGCCCAACCCAACCUAGGAAUUCGGCUUUGCUCCAUCUUAGACUAAGGAACAUUGAUCAUGAUACCGUGUUGGACGAGCUCUGCCUCUCUCAAGUGCUAGAACCAAGAACACCCUUUCUCUGCAUGACCGAAUGAACCUUCUUCUUGGAGAGAGAGAUGGCCGGAGCACAGGUGAUGAAGCGAAUUCCACGCAUUAAGUUUCCACAAAAGCAUCCAAAGCCCUCAGGCAACAGAAACGGCUGAGCCCAUGCUAUGCUGAAGAUAUUAGUUCUCACUGUGCAAGCAAAGAUAGUAAUAGCAAAAGAAUUGAAAGUGUUGCAGCAGACUCUAGUUGGUAGCUGGAGUAACAAAUUUUUGAUUUAGUAGAAUCCAUGUGACGUAAAUGACCCAUCAGUUACUUGUUUACGGAUCCUAGGUUCUGCAUCCCAACCAAAAGCGGAGUCAACCGGAAGCAAUACCCAUCAGACUUUCUUUUCAAGGUCAGAAGUUCCAGCUUCUCCUACUAACACUGCUGUAGGAGGGAAGGCUUCCCUUCAGCCAAAGCGUACACCAGUGUCUGACAGGGAGAUUGAGGCUGUUUUGUUGGGUGGAUGCUUCUGAUACCUGUAACUGAGAUGUCCCMAAAAAGGAUAGUGGGUGUCUCUUGGAAGGACGUGCUACACCUUAACCUGAAUGUAAUGUUAUUUGGUGGAAAUAAUAAUGAUUAAUGGGGCUUAAAUGUUGUGUCUCGCCAAUACAGGGUCUGGGGAUGGACAGAUGUACUGAGCCUCUCACCCCUGCACAGAGGCUGCUUUCAAAUUUGAACCCUGGUCACCCUCAUAAAUGUACUCAAAUGAAAUGUAUAUAUUUUUUUAUUUUGACACUCGUAGUUUCUCUCUGCAUAUUCAGAACUUGGCCCAAAAUGCCACAUGCAAUAGAAUCUACUUUGUGUUUUAGAAA